rnacentral:rRNA from 1 species
ACAAUGGAGAGUUUGAUCCUGGCUCAGGACGAACGCUGGCGGCGUGCUUCAUACAUGCAAGUCGAACGAGAAUCUCUAGCUUGCUAGAGAGGACAGUGGCGGACGGGUGAGUAAUG